GACGAACGCUGGCGGCGUGCUUAACACAUGCGAGUCGAACGGAAAGGCCCUGCUUUUGUGGGGUGCUCGAGUGGCGAACGGGUGAGUAACACGUGAGUAACCUGCCCUUGACUUUGGGAUAACUUCAGGAAACUGGGGCUAAUACCGGAUAGGAGCUCCUGCUGCAUGGUGGGGGUUGGAAAGUUUCGGCGGUUGGGGAUGGACUCGCGGCUUAUCAGCUUGUUGGUGGGGUAGUGGCUUACCAAGGCUUUGACGGGUAGCCGGCCUGAGAGGGUGACCGGCCACAUUGGGACUGAGAUACGGCCCAGACUCCUACGGGAGGCAGCAGUGGGGAAUAUUGCACAAUGGGCGGAAGCCUGAUGCAGCAACGCCGCGUGCGGGAUGACGGCCUUCGGGUUGUAAACCGCUUUCGCCUGUGACAAAGCGUGAGUGACGGUAAUGGGUAAAGAAGCACCGGCUAACUACGUG
rnacentral:rRNA from 1 species